GACGAACGCUGGCGGCGUGCUUAACACAUGCAAGUCGAACGGAAAGGCCCUGCUUUUGUGGUGUGCUCGAGUGGCGAACGGGUGAGUAACACGUGAGUAACCUGCCCUUGACUUUGGGAUAACUUCAGGAAACUGUGGCUAAUACCGGAUAGGAGCUCCUGCUGCAUGGUGGGGGUUGGAAAGCUUCGGCGGUUGGGGAUGGACUCGCGGCUUAUCAGUUUGUUGGUGGGGUAGUGGCUUACCAAGGCUUUGACGGGUAGCCGGCCUGAGAGGGUGACCGGCCACAUUGGGACUGAGAUACGGCCCAGACUCCUACGGGAGGCAGAAGUAGGGAAUAUUGCACAAUGGGCGGAAGCCUGAUGCAGCAACGCCGCGUGCGGGAUGACGGCCUUCGGGUUGUAAACCGCUUUCGCCUGUGACGAAGCGUGAGUGAAGGUAAUGGGUAAAGAAGCACCGGCUAACUACGUG
rnacentral:rRNA from 1 species